AAACAACCAGGAUGUUGGCUCAGAAGCAGCCACCAUUUAAAGAGUGCGUAAUAGCUCACUGGUCGAGAGACCCUGCGCCGAAGAUUCCCGGGGCUAAAGUACGAAACCGAAGCUGUGGCUGUAUACGUAAAGUAUACGGGGUAGGGGAGCGUUCCCAUAGGGUAGAAGUCGAACUGGAAGGUUCGGUGGACUUGUGGGAAGUGAGAAUGUUGGUAUGAGUAGCGAAAAGAAAGGUGAGAAUCCUUUCCACCGAAAGCAUAAGGAUUCCUGAGCAACGAUCGUCGUCUCAGGGUAAGUCGGGACCUAAUCCGAGGCAAAGAGCGUAGGAGAUGGACAACUGGUUGAUAUUCCAGUACCGGUAGUAAUUGUUUGAGCAAUGGAGUGACACAGAAGGGCAGGCAAGCAUGCGAAUGGAAGAGCAUGUGUAAGCGUGUAGGGUGGUGUACAGGCAAAUCCGUACACUGAAAGCCUGAGGCGUGAAGCGGAGUAAGCAGAAAUGCGAGCGAAGUUGUUGACCCCACACUGUCGAGAAAAGCUUCUAGUGAGAGAGCUACCGCCCGUACCGUAAACCGACACAGGUAUGCGGGGAGAGAAUCCUAAGGUGCGCGGGAGAACCCUCGUUAAGGAACUCGGCAAAAUGUACCCGUAACUUCGGGAUAAGGGUAGCCACUGUUGUGAAGUCCCACGCGGAUGGAGCAUAGAGUGGUCGCAGAGAAGAGGCCCAAGCGACUGUUUACCAUAAACACAGGUGCCUGCUAAAGCGAAAGCUGACGUAUAGGUGCUGACACCUGCCCAGUGCCGGAAGGUUAAGGAAGGAUGUUCGGAUUAAUCCAAAGCAUUCGACUGAAGCCCCGGUGAACGGCGGCCGUAACAAUAACGGUCCUAAGGUAGCGAAAUUCCUUGUCGGGUAAGUUCCGACCCGCACGAAAGGUGUAACGAUUUGGGCACUGUCUCAACGAGGGACCCGGUGAAAUUGAAAUACCUGUGAAGAUGCAGGUUACCCGCGACUGGACAGAAAGACCCCAUGGAGCUUUACUGUAACCUGACAUUGGGUUUUGAUACAUUACGUACAGGAUAGGUGGGAGGCAUGGAAGCUGGGACGCUAGUCUCAGUGGAGCCGCCGUUGGGAUACCACCCUUGAUGUAUUGAAAUUCUAACCGCGAGAGUAACGAAAUCCGGGACAGUGUCAGGCGGGCAGUUUGACUGGGGCGGUCGCCUCCGAAAGAGUAACGGAGGCGCCCAAAGGUUCCCUCAGCGCGGCUGGAAAUCGCGCGAAGAGUGUAAAGGCAGAAGGGAGCUUGACUGCGAGUCAAACACGACGAGCAGGUACGAAAGUAGGGCUUAGUGAUCCGGUGGUACCGAGUGGAAGGGCCAUCGCUCAACGGAUAAAAGCUACCCUGGGGAUAACAGGCUUAUCUCCCCCAAGAGUCCACAUCGACGGGGAGGUUUGGCACCUCGAUGUCGGCUCAUC
rnacentral:rRNA from 1 species